AGUUGGUUUGGGCCGUCCACAGACUUUGCACUGCAGCAUCACUGUGUCACCGAGCAGGCAGGUGAUGUCCACUAAUGGCACAAGAAACUCUGGAGCCACUGGACAAAAACAUGAGGACACAUAUGUGGCAUUUUCUUUUGGUCUACAGUGACAGAGAGACAUCUGGUUUCACAAGGUACUCUGGUGAACCUGACCAGAACCACAGACACACUGACCAGUGGCUACAAGCAACCUCUAACAACUGGCAGACACAGCAAGCUCCAGUGACAACAGAACAAGCCCGUGCACAGCUGGGACAGUACAGGAAAGCUACAGCUUCUGGAAUUUGGAGGAAGCAUCACAGGUAACAGGCAGAACACUGAGGCUGAGGAGGGUGGACAUGCGUUCUCCUUGCCCGGGUGACAAUGCUCAAGCCAUUAAUUCAUCUUCCCCGAGGUGGUUUGUGCCCCUCUCUACCCACAUCACACAGCACCUGCAGACACCGUGCACCUGGGGCAUCUCACCAGCACUCUGGCCACUAAUCAGCCUUGGGGAGACGUCUUUUGACUUCUGCUCAGCUUCAGGAAGAAAAGCCCCAGGCAAACCCCUGGUACCAGCCCUGAGAUGUCAGGAUCUCCUUUCUACUGUCAUCACCAGAGAGCUCAAACGAAUCAGGCAUAAUAUGGACUCACUGCUCAAAAAGGUUCAUUUUUCCCCCCAGAAAAAGACACCUUACUGCAACAAACUUCAUGCCCACUGAGACUGUCCUUUGUCCUUAGCAAUAGACAAACUUUAAUCCUUUGGGACACAUCUACAGCUCACAGUGCUGGCUGAAACAACAGGCCAAUGCCAGUGCUUUACACUUUGCACUCCAGAAAUGAGCAGGGGGUUCUGUUUGUGAGAAAAGAAGGUUUCAGGCCCUACCACAUAGCCAGGCAGUUCCUAAAUGUCUGUACCUGGUGGGCAAAAGUGUGAUGGUUUGGACUCUCACAUGCUCCCAAGAGCACUGAGGUUUCAAACACUGCAUUCUCAGCAUUCUGGGAGGCACCAACCUCUGCUUACAUCUCUGCAGAUGGCUCUUUGAGCACUAUGAGUAGAAUUAGGGUUUCUUACUUUUUAAAGCCUUGUUGGAAGCACCAUUGAGCUGGGUAGGGUGCAGGACAGUAUGCCAACCUUGCAAUAGGACAACAAUGGCUCAGCAGGUAGGAGCUUGAGUGGGUAAGAGAGCCAGCCAACCUCUUUGGGUCCUGUGUCAGAUCUUCCUCCUGGCUGCAUCUUCUGGCCUUGGUUGCCCAGGAAGCAGAAAGCUCCAUCUGAAGGGUGCAUCUAUGCACCAACACUAGGAUGUGGGCCUCUAGUUAGCCAGCCUGGCAGCCUCUGAGAGGGUGAGUGGCUCAGAUGCAGAUAUUGCUGCUUUGCAUAGGACCCACAUACAGCCCCUUGGCUCCUGCAGACAGGAUUGACUUGGGGAGCAAGAAGGCACUGGCUGAAGAAGAACUUCUUCCCCACCUGUGCAUGUGGAAAAGGGGAGCUGGAUCUUUGUGAUUAAAUUGUACUGCUUAGACAACACAGAAAAGGAAGAAAAAGCUGUUCUGUGGAUAUCCAUCACUUGCCACUUCUCAGUGAGACCAUCUACUUAUCAACUGAGCAGCCCCAGGCAUCAGUUCAUUUGCUUCAUUUCUGUAGUUCUGAAAUAUACAUUUACCCCCACCCCCAACCUCUCCUCUUCCUUCCCUGCAAUGGGCACUAAAUUCCCUUAAUAUUCACUGAUCUCCACCAGUGAACAGGGGAAAGAAACACUCCUAACCCUUCAUGUUACUUUUGUAACUUUAAGGUUUCAUUAGAAACUGCAGCUCCAGUGAUGAAUGUAAUGGAUAUAUCCAUGAAUAAGUAAUGCUGCAUUUCUAAUGACUCCCAAGGCCUUACUAAUGCUUUUUCCCCCUUGUCUUGCCAUGGGAACAUCAGAAAUAAAAUUACUGCUGCUUGAUAAUAAUGGAAGAGUCUAUGGCUAAAAUUUACACUUCCAUUGCUAAAACUUCAACUGUUAACUAAUGAAAUGUUAACCUAACAACACCCUCACAGCCACAUCACUGCUUUUGCCUGCUCUAAUCUUAGACAAAAAUAAAAGCCUGUUUGCAAGAGAAUGUUUAAGUGCCACCAAAGUGAUUUAAUACAUCUUUAGCUAGGAAAUGGGACUUGGUCUGCUUUGAAAGAGGGGGGGUCAAAAGAUGGAGUGAGAAAAGCAGAAACAGGAAAGCAAAGGUUCACAGCCAGAUCUGCAUCCAGAAGCCAUCUCUGCUGGCUCACACAUCUGCUCCCAGGCCCCAGGGGUUUGCUGCCUCUCUCUCUAGGCUGACCAGGUUUUCAGGCUA